GCCCCCCCUGUAAAGAUGGACGGCGGGCGCUGACCCCCCCUUUCCUCUUUCGAUCCUAGAGCUGUUACGUCAGGUAGCGCGCUCCGGACCCCCGGCCUCAGGUGACGAGCCAGGUGGGUCCUCGUCCCAUCCCUGCCCCAUAACCCCCCCAACAGGGGACCCCCACCCCAAUUAUAACCUCACCCCCCAUCACACACCAUCAGUCUGUGUCCCUGUGUCCAUUAUGGACAUGGAGAUGGGGGUCCUUAGGGGCUCCCUUGGGGUCCCCAUAUCCAUUAUGGACAUGGAGAUGGGGGUCCUUGGGGUCCUUUGGGGUCCCCAUAUCCCUUAUGGACAUGGAGAUGGGGGUCCUUGGGGUCCCCAUAUCCCUUAUGGACACUGAAGGACCCUUGGGGUGUCCCCAUAUCCAUUAUGGACAUGGAGAUGGGGGUCCUUGGGGUCCUUUGGCGGUCACCCAUGCUCCACAUAUCAAAAUGGCACUGAAGGACCCCU
rnacentral:lncRNA from 1 species